UGAGUAACCUGCCCUUGACUCUGGGAUAAGCGUUGGAAACGACGUCUAAUACCGGAUACGAGCUUCAGUCGCAUGACUAGGAGCUGGAAAGAAUUUCGGUCAAGGAUGGACUCGCGGCCUAUCAGCUAGUUGGUGAGGUAACGGCCCACAAGGCGACGACGGGUAGCCGGCCUGAGAGGGUGACCGGCCACACUGGGACUGAGACACGGUCCAGACCUCCGUACGGGAGCAG
rnacentral:rRNA from 1 species